rnacentral:rRNA from 1 species
UCAGGAUGAACGCUGGCGGCAUGCCUAAGACAUGCAAGUCGAACGAGACGACCUUAGGAAAACUGAGUGCUUGCACGAAGUUGGAUCAAGAUCAUCGUCUAGUGGCAGACGGGUGAGUAACACGUGGGUAACCUACCUUUAAGCUGGGGAUAACAGUUGGAAACGAUUGCUAAUACCGAAUAAGAUACUCGUAUUAAAAGAAGCCUUUAAAGCUUCACUUAAAGAUGGGCCUGCGGCGUAUUAACUAGUUGGUGAGGUAAUGGCUCACCAAGGUAACGAUGCGUAGCCGAACUGAGAGGUUGAACGGCCACACUGGGACUGAGACACGGCCCAGACUCCUACGGGAGACAGCAGUUAGGAAUAUUCGUCAAUGGGGGAAACCCUGAACGAGCAAUGCCGCGUGAGUGAUGAAGGCCCUCUGGGUUGUAAAACUCUGUUGUAUGGGAAGAACGGACUUACUAGGAAAUGAGUGAGUAGUGACGGUACCAUGCGAGAAAGCUCCGGCUAACUACGUGCCAGCCGCCGC